AGGCUGUGAUGACGAACAACAUUUCUCGAUUCUGAUAUUAUGUACUUUUUUUAGUAUUGGACCAGAGCAAUUAUAUUUGCUCUCUGAUGACUUCAUUUAUGCGUGUCUGAGCCUU